ensembl:misc_RNA 7SK 7SK RNA
AGAUGUGAGGGCAAUCUCGCUGAGACAUCUGUCACCCCACUGAUCACCAAGGUUGAUUUGGCUGAUCUGCCUCGUUCGGCAGGUGGCCUGUUCCUCCCCCACGGCUCCAUGUGCAUCCUUCCUGAAGCUGCGCACUCAGUUGAAGAGGACAACAUUCCCUAAUAGAGGACCAUUCUUCAGUGAAGGGUAUAUGAUUAACUAUGCUCCCCUGCUAGAACCUCCAAAGAAGCUCUCAAGAAAUUGAAGUAGACAUGAACAAAUGGAAAGACAUCCCAUGCUCUUG